AUUUGGCCACAGGGAGGUUCAACAUCAAAAAACGAGCCAAUGGGAGAAAUUUUACCUCGUUUAGCAACCGAAAAAUCUUCCAGUGCGACGACAGGUGGCGGCGGCCGAUUCCUCCGGUGGUUGGGUCGUCUUCUCCGGCGAGGGUUCUGGCGGGUAGGGUUUGGGGUUGGGUGUGGAUGCGAUUAUUUAUAACCUUCCCCUUUUAAUCUGAGCUGUCCAUCAUGAUUUAAUCUGCACCAUCCGAUCGCGAUUAAAUUGAAAAUAAAUGUGGGUUGUCCAUCGCGAUGCGAUUUGGACCGUCCGUGUGUGAUCAAAUUUGGGUCGUCCGCACGCGUGAGAUCUGGAUUGUCCGCACGCGCCCUUGAUCUGGGCCGUCCGUGCGCGCGGGAACAGAUCUGGACCGUCCGAUCGCGCGCACAUGGAUCGCCCACGUGGCUCCGUCCCGUGUGGCUCCCU
rnacentral:lncRNA from 1 species